rnacentral:rRNA from 1 species
GAGUUUGAUUAUGGCUCAGAUUGAACGCUGGCGGCAGGCCUAACACAUGCAAGUCGAGCGGUAACAUUUCUAGCUUGCUGGAAGAUGACGAGCGGCGGACGGGUGCGUAACACGUAGGAAUCUACCCAGUAGCGGGGGAUAGCCCGGAGAAAUCCGGAUUAAUACCGCAUACGCCCUACGGGGGAAAGCAGGGGCUCGCUCUUUCGAGAGUGACCUUGCGCUAUUGGAUGAGCCUGCGUCGGAUUAGCUUGUUGGUGGGGUAAUGGCCUACCAAGGCAACGAUCCGUAGCUGAUCUGAGAGGAUGAUCAGCCACACUGGGACUGAGACACGGCCCAGACUCCUACGGGAGGCAGCAGUGGGGAAUAUUGCACAAUGGGCGAAAGCCUGAUGCAGCCAUGCCGCGUGUGUGAAGAAGGCUCUAGGGUUGUAAAGCACUUUCAGCGAGGAGGAAAGGUUAAAGAUUAAUACUCUUUAGCUGUGACGGUACUCGCAGAAGAAGCACCGGCUAACUCCGUGCCAGCAGCCGCGGUAAUACGGAGGGUGCGAGCGUUAAUCGGAAUUACUGGGCGUAAAGCGUGCGUAGGCGGCUGUCUAAGUUGGGUGUGAAAGCCCCGGGCUCAACCUGGGAACUGCAUCCAAAACUGGAUAGCUAGAGUGCGGAAGAGGAGUGUGGAAUUUCCUGUGUAGCGGUGAAAUGCGUAGAUAUAGGAAGGAACACCAGUGGCGAAGGCGACACUCUGGUCUGACACUGACGCUGAGGUACGAAAGCGUGGGGAGCAAACAGGAUUAGAUACCCUGGUAGUCCACGCCGUAAACGAUGUCUACUAGUUGUCGGGACUCUUGCAGUCUUGGUAACGCAGCUAACGCGAUAAGUAGACCGCCUGGGGAGUACGGCCGCAAGGUUAAACUCAAAUGAAUUGACGGGGCCCGCACAGCGGUGGAGCAUGUGGUUUAUUCGAAGCACGCGAAGAACCUUACCUGG